UCCUUUGACAAGGGGUAGAACGGCGGACUGUUAAUCCGUAUGUCACUGGUUCGAGUCCAGUCAGAGGAGCCA
rnacentral:tRNA from 1 species